GACGAACGCUGGCGGCGUGCUUAACACAUGCAAGUCGAACGGAAAGGCCCUGCUUUUGUGGGGUGCUCAAGUGGCGAACGGGUGAGUAACACGUGAGUAACCUGCCCUUGACUUUGGGAUAACUUCAGGAAACUGGGGCUAAUACCGGAUAGGAGCUCCUGCUGCAUGGUGGGGGUUGGAAAGUUUCGGCGGUUGGGGAUGGACUCGCGGCUUAUCAGCUUGUUGGUGGGGUAGGGGCUUACCAAGGCUUUGACGGGUAGCCGGCCUGAGAGGGUGACCGGCCACAUUGGGACUGAGAGACGGCCCAGACUCCUACGGGAGGCAGCAGGGGGGAAUAUUGCACAAUGGGCGGAAGCCUGAUGCAGCAACGCCGCGUGCGGGAUGACGGCCUUCGGGUUGUAAACCGCUUUCGCCUGUGACGAAGCGUGAGUGACGGUAAUGGGUAAAGAAGCACCGGCUAACUACGUG
rnacentral:rRNA from 1 species